GCACUACGGUGCUGAAGCAACAAAUGCCCUGCUUCCAGGAAAAGCCUCUAAGCAUCAGGUAACACGAAAUCGUACCCCAAACCGACACAGGUGGUCAGGUAGAGAAUACCAAGGCGCUUGAGAGAACUCGGGUGAAGGAACUAGGCAAAAUGGUGCCGUAACUUCGGGAGAAGGCACGCUGACACGUAGGUGAAGUGAUUUACUCAUGGAGCUGAAGUCAGUCGAAGAUACCAGCUGGCUGCAACUGUUUAUUAAAAACACAGCACUGUGCAAACACGAAAGUGGACGUAUACGGUGUGACGCCUGCCCGGUGCCGGAAGGUUAAUUGAUGGGGUCAGCGUAAGCGAAGCUCCUGAUCGAAGCCCCGGUAAACGGCGGCCGUAACUAUAACGGUCCUAAGGUAGCGAAAUUCCUUGUCGGGUAAGUUCCGACCUGCACGAAUGGCGUAAUGAUGGCCAGGCUGUCUCCACCCGAGACUCAGUGAAAUUGAACUCGCUGUGAAGAUGCAGUGUACCCGCGGCAAGACGGAAAGACCCCGUGAACCUUUACUAUAGCUUGACACUGAACAUUGAGCCUUGAUGUGUAGGAUAGGUGGGAGGCUUUGAAGUGUGGACGCCAGUCUGCAUGGAGCCGACCUUGAAAUACCACCCUUUAAUGUUUGAUGUUCUAACGUGGACCCGUAAUCCGGGUUGCGGACAGUGUCUGGUGGGUAGUUUGACUGGGGCGGUCUCCUCCUAAAGAGUAACGGAGGAGCACGAAGGUUGGCUAAUCCUGGUCGGACAUCAGGAGGUUAGUGCAAUGGCAUAAGCCAGCUUGACUGCGAGCGUGACGGCGCGAGCAGGUGCGAAAGCAGGUCAUAGUGAUCCGGUGGUUCUGAAUGGAAGGGCCAUCGCUCAACGGAUAAAAGGUACUCCGGGGAUAACAGGCUGAUACCGCCCAAGAGUUCAUAUCGACGGCGGUGUUUGGCACCUCGAUGUCGGCUCAUCACAUCCUGGGGCUGAAGUAGGUCCCAAGGGUAUGGCUGUUCGCCAUUUAAAGUGGUACGCGAGCUGGGUUUAGAACGUCGUGAGACAGUUCGGUCCCUAUCUGCCGUGGGCGCUGGAGAACUGAGGGGGGCUGCUCCUAGUACGAGAGGACCGGAGUGGACGCAUCACUGGUGUUCGGGUUGUCAUGCCAAUGGCACUGCCCGGUAGCUAAAUGCGGAAGAGAUAAGUGCUGAAAGCAUCUAAGCACGAAACUUGCCCCGAGAUGAGUUCUCCCUGAGACUUAG
rnacentral:rRNA from 1 species